GCAUAGCCGGUCCGCGAAUGCUUAGAUUAAGUUUGAUCCUGGCUCAGGCCGGGUCGGUACCUUAGAGUUUGAUCAUGGCUCAGGCUGGAUCACCUCCUUAGAGUUUGAUCAUGGCUCAGAGUGAACGCUGGCGGUAGGCCUAACACAUAGCAAGUACGAACGGCAGCACAGGAGAGCUUGCUACUACUAGGGUAGGCGAGUAGGCGGACGGGUAGAGGAAUACAUACGGAAUACUACUCUAGUCGUAGGGGGAUAACGUAGGGAAACCUAGCGGCAUAAAUACCAGCAUACGACCUAACGGAGUAGAAAGCAGGGGAUCUAUCGGACCAUUAGCGCGAUUGAAUAGACCCG
rnacentral:rRNA from 1 species